AACGAACGCUGGCGGCAUGCCUAACACAUGCAAGUCGAACGAGACCUUCGGGUCUAGUGGCGCACGGGUGCGUAACGCGUGGGAACCUGCCCUUAGGUUCGGAAUAACUCAGAGAAAUUUGAGCUAAUACCGGAUGAUGUCUUCGGACCAAUGAUGUAUCGGCUCUAGAUGGGUCCGCGUUGGAUUAGCUAGUUGGUGGGGUAAAGGUCUACCGAGGCGACGAUGCAUAGCUGGUCUGAGAGGAUGAUCAGCAACCCUGGGACUGGGACACGGCCGAGACUCCUACGGGAGGAAGCAAUGGGGAAUAUGGGACGAUGGGCGAAAGCAUGAGCCAGCAAUGCCGCGUGAGUGAUGAAGGCCUUAGGGUUGUAAAGCUCUUUUACCCGAGAUGAUAAUGACAGUAUCGGGAGAAUAAGCUCCGGCUAACUCCGUG
rnacentral:rRNA from 1 species